CUUGGCCUCUCGCCUCAGUGG
rnacentral:misc_RNA from 1 species